rnacentral:tRNA from 1 species
GGCUGGAGAGAUGGCUCAGUGGUUAAGAGCGCCGACUGCUCUUCUAGAGGUCCUGAGUUCAAUUCCCAGCAACCA